CGUGGCCUACGGGGGGCAGCAGUAGGGAAUCUUCGGCAAUGGGCGAAAGCCUGACCGAGCAACGCCGCGUGAAUGAAGAAGGCCUUCGGGUUGUAAAAUUCUGUUAUAAGGGAAGAAAGGUGAUAGGAGGAAAUGACUAUCAAUUGACGGUACCUUAUGAGAAAGCCACGGCUAACUACGUGCCAGCAGCCGCGGUAAUACGUAGGUGGCAAGCGUUAUCCGGAUUUACUGGGUGUAAAGGGCGUGUAGGCGGGAUGGUAAGUCAGAUGUGAAAACUAUGGGCUCAACCCAUAGCCUGCAUUUGA
rnacentral:rRNA from 1 species